AGUAGCAGUUGGGCUGGGAUAAAAGGUGUCACCACAACGUCGAUAUGUGAAUAUUUACAAGGGAAAAAGUUCCAAGAACUACCAAAACUUUCUGACUUCAAGAAACACAGAAAGUUGCCGAAACUAUUUGUUCAACUUUCUUUUGGCAAAACUUGACAGGCAGCAAAAAAGUGGUUUAUGACGGCAGAUGAACGCAUGAAUUUCUUU